rnacentral:rRNA from 1 species
UACGUAGGGUGCGAGCGUUGUCCGGAAUUACUGGGCGUAAAGGGCGCGUAGGCGGCCUGCUAAGUCGAACGUGAAAUCCCCGGGCUCAACCCGGGAACUGCGUCCGAGACUGGCGGGCUCGAAUUCGGGAGAGGGAUGCGGAAUUCCAGGUGUAGCGGUGAAAUGCGUAGAUAUCUGGAGGAACACCGGUGGCGAAGGCGGCAUCCUGGACCGAUAUUGACGCUGAUGCGCGAAAGCCAGGGGAGCAAACGGG